GGGUUGUGAGGUUAAGCGACUAAGCGUACACGGUGGAUGCCCUGGCAGUCAGAGGCGAUGAAGGACGUGCUAAUCUGCGAUAAGCGUCGGUAAGGUGAUAUGAACCGUUAUAACCGGCGAUUUCCGAAUGGGGAAACCCAGUGUGUUUCGACACACUAUCAUUAACUGAAUCCAUAGGUUAAUGAGGCGAACCGGGGGAACUGAAACAUCUAAGUACCCCGAGGAAAAGAAAUCAACCGAGAUUCCCCCAGUAGCGGCGAGCGAACGGGGAGCAGCCCAGAGCCUGAAUCAGUGUGUGUGUUAGUGGAAGCGUCUGGAAAGGCGCGCGAUACAGGGUGACAGCCCCGUACACAAAAAUGCACAUAUUGUGAGCUCGAUGAGUAGGGCGGGACACGUGGUAUCCUGUCUGAAUAUGGGGGGACCAUCCUCCAAGGCUAAAUACUCCUGACUGACCGAUAGUGAACCAGUACCGUGAGGGAAAGGCGAAAAGAACCCCGGCGAGGGGAGUGAAAAAGAACCUGAAACCGUGUACGUACAAGCAGUGGGAGCACGCUUAGGCGUGUGACUGCGUACCUUUUGUAUAAUGGGUCAGCGACUUAUAUUCUGUAGCAAGGUUAACCGAAUAGGGGAGCCGAAGGGAAACCGAGUCUUAACUGGGCGUUAAGUUGCAGGGUAUAGACCCGAAACCCGGUGAUCUAGCCAUGGGCAGGUUGAAGGUUGGGUAACACUAACUGGAGGACCGAACCGACUAAUGUUGAAAAAUUAGCGGAUGACUUGUGGCUGGGGGUGAAAGGCCAAUCAAACCGGGAGAUAGCUGGUUCUCCCCGAAAGCUAUUUAGGUAGCGCCUCGUGAAUUCAUCUCCGGGGGUAGAGCACUGUUUCGGCAAGGGGGUCAUCCCGACUUACCAACCCGAUGCAAACUGCGAAUACCGGAGAAUGUUAUCACGGGAGACACACGGCGGGUGCUAACGUCCGUCGUGAAGAGGGAAACAACCCAGACCGCCAGCUAAGGUCCCAAAGUCAUGGUUAAGUGGGAAACGAUGUGGGAAGGCCCAGACAGCCAGGAUGUUGGCUUAGAAGCAGCCAUCAUUUAAAGAAAGCGUAAUAGCUCACUGGUCGAGUCGGCCUGCGCGGAAGAUGUAACGGGGCUAAACCAUGCACCGAAGCUGCGGCAGCGACGCUGAUGCGUUGUUGGGUAGGGGAGCGUUCUGUAAGCCUGUGAAGGUGCGCUGUGAGGCAUGCUGGAGGUAUCAGAAGUGCGAAUGCUGACAUAAGUAACGAUAAAGCGGGUGAAAAGCCCGCUCGCCGGAAGACCAAGGGUUCCUGUCCAACGUUAAUCGGGGCAGGGUGAGUCGACCCUAAGGCGAGGCCGAAAGGCGUAGUCGAUGGGAAACAGGUUAAUAUUCCUGUACUUGGUGUUACUGCGAAGGGGGACGGAGAAGGCUAUGUUGGCCGGGCGACGGUUGUCCCGGUUUAAGCGUGUAGGCUGGUUUUCCGGCAAAUCCGGAAAAUCAAGGCUGAGGCGUGAUGACGAGGUACUACGGUGCUGAAGCAACAAAUGCCCUGCUUCCGGAAAAGCCUCUAAGCAUCAGGUAACAUCAAAUCGUACCCCAAACCGACACAGGUGGUCAGGUAGAGAAUACCAAGGCGCUUGAGAGAACUCGGGUGAAGGAACUAGGCAAAAUGGUGCCGUAACUUCGGGAGAAGGCACGCUGAUAUGUAGGUGAAGUCCCUCGCGGAUGGAGCUGAAAUCAGUCGAAGAUACCAGCUGGCUGCAACUGUUUAUUAAAAACACAGCACUGUGCAAACACGAAAGUGGACGUAUACGGUGUGACGCCUGCCCGGUGCCGGAAGGUUAAUUGAUGGGGUCAGCGCAAGCGAAGCUCUUGAUCGAAGCCCCGGUAAACGGCGGCCGUAACUAUAACGGUCCUAAGGUAGCGAAAUUCCUUGUCGGGUAAGUUCCGACCUGCACGAAUGGCGUAAUGAUGGGGCUGUCUCCACCCGAGACUCAGUGAAAUUGAACUCGCUGUGAAGAUGCAGUGUACCCGCGGCAAGACGGAAAGACCCCGUGAACCUUUACUAUAGCUUGACACUGAACAUUGAGCCUUGAUGUGUAGGAUAGGUGGGAGGCUUUGAAGUGUGGACGCCAGUCUGCAUGGAGCCGACCUUGAAAUACCACCCUUUAAUGUUUGAUGUUCUAACGUUGACCCGUAAUCCGGGUUGCGGACAGUGUCUGGUGGGUAGUUUGACUGGGGCGGUCUCCUCCUAAAGAGUAACGGAGGAGCACGAAGGUUGGCUAAUCCUGGUCGGACAUCAGGAGGUUAGUGCAAUGGCAUAAGCCAGCUUGACUGCGAGCGUGACGGCGCGAGCAGGUGCGAAAGCAGGUCAUAGUGAUCCGGUGGUUCUGAAUGGAAGGGCCAUCGCUCAACGGAUAAAAGGUACUCCGGGGAUAACAGGCUGAUACCGCCCAAGAGUUCAUAUCGACGGCGGUGUUUGGCACCUCGAUGUCGGCUCAUCACAUCCUGGGGCUGAAGUAGGUCCCAAGGGUAUGGCUGUUCGCCAUUUAAAGUGGUACGCGAGCUGGGUUUAGAACGUCGUGAGACAGUUCGGUCCCUAUCUGCCGUGGGCGCUGGAGAACUGAGGGGGGCUGCUCCUAGUACGAGAGGACCGGAGUGGACGCAUCACUGGUGUUCGGGUUGUCAUGCCAAUGGCACUGCCCGGUAGCUAAAUGCGGAAGAGAUAAGUGCUGAAAGCAUCUAAGCACGAAACUUGCCCCGAGAUGAGUUCUCCCUGACUCCUUGAGAGUCCUGAAGGAACGUUGAAGACGACGACGUUGAUAGGCCGGGUGUGUAAGCGCAGCGAUGCGUUGAGCUAACCGGUACUAAUGAACCGUGAGGCUUAACCUUACAACGCCGAAGGUGUUU
rnacentral:rRNA from 1 species